GGGUGAACCCUUAACAUAUGCCCUGCUCCCUUGCAAAUAAAACUUCCCAACACAAUCCAAUACAAGUCUUGCCGGAUUGCGCGAGAGUUUCAAUGCCUUAGGGACUUCCUCAAGCAGUACAUUUAUAUCUGAGAUAUGCGUUAUCAUGUACUUCCGCAGACCACGACCGUCCACCCUUUUACAGAUGCUUUCUAGCUCUGAACGAGUAGAUUUUAGCUCUAAACAAGGGGAUUUCACUUCCACUUUUUCUUCUUCAGAGGGACCGAAUUCCAUUGCCGGUUCU
rnacentral:misc_RNA from 1 species